UUUUAUGAGAGUUUGAUCCUGGCUCAGGACGAACGCUGGCGGCGUGCCUAAUACAUGCAAGUCGUACGCUUCUUUUUCCACCGGAGCUUGCUCCACCGGAAAAAGAAGAGUGGCGAACGGGUGAGUAACACGUGGGUAACCUGCCCAUCAGAAGGGGAUAACACUUGGAAACAGGUGCUAAUACCGUAUAACAAUCGAAACCGCAUGGUUUUGAUUUGAAAGGCGCUUUCGGGUGUCGCUGAUGGAUGGACCCGCGGUGCAUUAGCUAGUUGGUGAGGUAACGGCUCACCAAGGCCACGAUGCAUAGCCGACCUGAGAGGGUGAUCGGCCACAUUGGGACUGAGACACGGCCCAAACUCCUACGGGAGGCAGCAGUAGGGAAUCUUCGGCAAUGGACGAAAGUCUGACCGAGCAACGCCGCGUGAGUGAAGAAGGUUUUCGGAUCGUAAAACUCUGUUGUUAGAGAAGAACAAGGAUGAGAGUAACUGUUCAUCCCUUGACGGUAUCUAACCAGAAAGCCACGGCUAACUACGUGCCAGCAGCCGCGGUAAUACGUAGGUGGCAAGCGUUGUCCGGAUUUAUUGGGCGUAAAGCGAGCGCAGGCGGUUUCUUAAGUCUGAUGUGAAAGCCCCCGGCUCAACCGGGGAGGGUCAUUGGAAACUGGGAGACUUGAGUGCAGAAGAGGAGAGUGGAAUUCCAUGUGUAGCGGUGAAAUGCGUAGAUAUAUGGAGGAACACCAGUGGCGAAGGCGGCUCUCUGGUCUGUAACUGACGCUGAGGCUCGAAAGCGUGGGGAGCAAACAGGAUUAGAUACCCUGGUAGUCCACGCCGUAAACGAUGAGUGCUAAGUGUUGGAGGGUUUCCGCCCUUCAGUGCUGCAGCUAACGCAUUAAGCACUCCGCCUGGGGAGUACGACCGCAAGGUUGAAACUCAAAGGAAUUGACGGGGGCCCGCACAAGCGGUGGAGCAUGUGGUUUAAUUCGAAGCAACGCGAAGAACCUUACCAGGUCUUGACAUCCUUUGACCACUCUAGAGAUAGAGCUUCCCCUUCGGGGGCAAAGUGACAGGUGGUGCAUGGUUGUCGUCAGCUCGUGUCGUGAGAUGUUGGGUUAAGUCCCGCAACGAGCGCAACCCUUAUUGUUAGUUGCCAUCAUUCAGUUGGGCACUCUAGCAAGACUGCCGGUGACAAACCGGAGGAAGGUGGGGAUGACGUCAAAUCAUCAUGCCCCUUAUGACCUGGGCUACACACGUGCU
rnacentral:rRNA from 1 species